GGACCGGGACCGGGAGCGGGAGCGGGACCGGGAGCGGGACCGGGACCGGGAGCGGGACCGGGAGCGGGAGAGGCAGUUCUGUGAACUUUGUGGUAAAAUGGAAAACCUCCUGAAGUGCGGGAGGUGCCGGAGCUCCUUCUACUGCAGCAAGGAGCACCAGAAACAGCACUGGAAGAAACACAAGCUCCUGUGUAAGGAGGCGGACAAACCAGCACCACCCGGGGACCACAAGGCACCACCCGGGGACCACAAGGCACCACCCGGGGACCACAAGGCACCACCCGGGGACCACAAGGCACCGGAGAAACCCCGCGAAAAGACCGGAGACAGCACGGCUUCACCGACAGAACCCGGGGACAAACCGGGGGACAAACCGGGGGACAAACCGGGGGACAAACCGGGGGACAAACCGGGGGACAAACCGGGGGACAAACCAGGAGAGGACGGGUCUAACGACACCGCCACACCUAACGGACAGAGCAGCUCGUCCCCACAGAAACUGGCCGUGGAUUACAUCGUUCCCUGCAUGAACAAACACGGGAUCUGCGUGGUGGACCACUUCCUCGGAGACGAGACCGGGAUGGGGAUCCUGGACAACGUCAAAGCCCUGCACAAGACCGGGAAGUUCACGGACGGACAGCUGGUGAGUCAGAAAAGUGAUUCGACCAAAGACAUCCGGGGGGACAAAAUCACGUGGAUCGAGGGCCGGGAGUCCGGCUGCGAGAAGAUCCGGUUUCUGAUGAGCCGCAUGGACGACCUGAUCCGGUACUGCAACGGAAACCUGGGGGACUACACGAUCAACGGGAGGACAAAAAUCCCAGGUCAGGAUAGGCAAUGGAGCCUGAAUGCAACUGAAGGGACUUCUGGCCUGUCAGUCAUGUGAUCCACGCAGGAAGCCACUCGAAAAUAUAAACCUGAUUGAAACUCAAAGACGACUGUGAGGGAAAACGACGGGCUCCGAUUUUAAAGCUGUUCUUACACCAUCUGCACGAAGUGUCCUACAGAAGUCAACCUCACCCCCCAAGAAUUAAAAAACACAAACACAUAUU